GUGCCUCAAUCUAUUGAGUAAGGAAAUUAUUGGGCCUUGGUAACUCUCGGCAAUGUCCUAAUAGGGCGAAAGUAUUUUUGUAGGGUACAGGUCGUCCCCUUGAAUUGCUCGCCUACUUUGCGAGCGGUUUGGGUGAAGCGAUCUGCCCU